rnacentral:rRNA from 1 species
GAUGAACGCUGGCGGCGUGCCUAAUACAUGCAAGUCGAGCGAACAGACGAGGAGCUUGCUCCUCUGAUGUUAGCGGCGGACGGGUGAGUAACACGUGGAUAACCUACCUAUAAGACUGGGAUAACUUCGGGAAACCGGAGCUAAUACCGGAUAACAUGUUGAACCGCAUGGUUCAACAGUGAAAGACGGUCUUGCUGUCACUUAUAGAUGGAUCCGCGCCGCAUUAGCUAGUUGGUAAGGUAACGGCUUACCAAGGCAACGAUGCGUAGCCGACCUGAGAGGGUGAUCGGCCACACUGGAACUGAGACACGGUCCAGACUCCUACGGGAGGCAGCAGUAGGGAAUCUUCCGCAAUGGGCGAAAGCCUGACGGAGCAACGCCGCGUGAGUGAAGAAGGUCUUCGGAUCGUAAAACUCUGUUAUUAGGGAAGAACAAAUGUGUAAGUAACGAUGCACGUCUUGACGGUACCUAAGCAGAAAGCCACGGCUAACUACGU